GAAAACCACAGUAAGGAAUGAAAAGAACACUGUUUCCACAUAGCAGAAAGAAGAAAAGAAGAGACUCAGAAGGUGGGCAGGCUUGGGUGGUUCUAAUGCACCUGAAUUGAUUUUCUCCUUUGGCUUGCUUCAGGCCAAAACAAUGUGAACUGAGCUAAAGAUGACCACAACCCCAACUUUCUACGACAGACAAAUGGACAGUGAACCCUUUAGAGGACUUGGCUUCUGUUGCUGUCUGGAUAAAUAAAUGAUUCCUCCACUGAAAUGAUCUGGGAAGCCUGCAUGUGUCAGAUAUCCAUGUGCAUCUGGAUCUUUUGGAUUGGUCCAUUUAUCUUCUACAAGACAUUCUGCCUGCAGUAAUGCAGUACAAAGAGAACACAUUAUAUUUUCUGUGUGUUUUGACCAGGCUCACAAGAAGCAUUUCCUCUUGGAUCGCUUCAGUGGUUAUUUAAUAAAGCUACCC